rfam:Aedes albopictus isolate Foshan contig46383, whole genome shotgun sequence.
UAGCCUAGUGGUGAAGGCUAUGGAUCGCCAAUCCAGAGACGGCGGGUUCGAUUCCCGU